rnacentral:rRNA from 1 species
UACGAAGGGGGCUAGCGUUGCUCGGAAUGACUGGGCGUAAAGGGCGCGUAGGCGGCCCGCUAAGUCGAACGUGAAAUCCCCAGGCUCAACCUGGGAACUGCGUCCGAUACUGGCAGGCUUGAAUCCGGGAGAGGGAUGUGGAAUUCCAGGUGUAGCGGUGAAAUGCGUAGAUAUCUGGAGGAACACCGGUGGCGAAGGCGGCAUCCUGGACCGGUAUUGACGCUGAGGCGCGAAAGCUAGGGGAGCAAACAGG